rnacentral:rRNA from 1 species
UUCCAGACUCCUACGGGAGGCAGCAGUGAGGAAUAUUGGUCAAUGGACGAGAGUCUGAACCAGCCAAGUAGCGUGAAGGAUGACUGCCCUAUGGGUUGUAAACUUCUUUUAUAAAGGAAUAAAACGAGGCACGUGUGCCUUUUUGCAUGUACUUUAUGAAUAAGGAUCGGCUAACUCCGUGCCAGCAGCCGCGGUAAUACGGAGGAUCCGAGCGUUAUCCGGAUUUAUUGGGUUUAAAGGGUGCGUAGGCGGACAGUCAAGUCAGCGGUAAAAAUGCGGUGCUCAACGCCGUACAGCCGUUGAAACUGGCAGUCUUGAGUGGGCGAGAAGUAUGCGGAAUGCGUGGUGUAGCGGUGAAAUGCAUAGAUAUCACGCAGAACUCCGAUUGCGAAGGCAGCAUACCGGCGCCCGACUGACGCUGAGGCACGAAAGCGUGGGUAUCGAACAGGAUUAGAUACCCGCGUAA